UACGAAGGGUGCAAGCGUUACUCGGAAUCACUGGGCGUAAAGGGUGCGUAGGCGGGUCUUUUAAGUCAGGGGUGAAAUCCUGGAGCUCAACUCCAGAACUGCCUUUGAUACUGAAGAUCUUGAGUUCGGGAGAGGUGAGUGGAACUGCGAGUGUAGAGGUGAAAUUCGUAGAUAUUCGCAAGAACACCAGUGGCGAAGGCGGCUCACUGGCCCGAUACUGACACUGAGACCCGAAAGCGUGGGGAUCAAACAGG
rnacentral:rRNA from 1 species